ensembl:piRNA 21ur-68 ncRNA
UGUGAUCUCUACCGGUAUAAC